CCUUUUAAAGGAAACCGUUACGUCUACGACGAUUUUAAAGCCAACCAUUACGUCUACUACAUUGAAGACAACAGCUCAGUCAACCGUUGCGACUACAGCCGUAAAAAAAAUGUUACGACUACUACGGUACGUUAAAACCGACAACGUUUGCCGAAUCCUUUGCUUAUCGCGACAUAAAUUCAACUGUAGCCUCUGGGACGAUUCAGCCGGAUCAAAACUUGACAAAUAGCUACUUUAAUUUCGACAUCGUUGCUCCUUCCGAUCAACAGAUUCAAAUAUCUUGCUCGUCCUUGAACUUCAACACCGCUGCUAGCAGCAGUUUGAACAUGGACAGAGUUGCUGAUGGAUACGUGUAUCCAGCCCCCGUAGGAUACCCCCAAUCCAGUACCGUGUCGGACCGCAUGUAUUAUUCCAUCGGCAAUCAAAUCAUCCUGACCGCUGCGGUCGUCAACGCCGACCGGUUUAGUUGCAAGUGGACGAUGGUGCCGAAGGACGGAAGGUGAUUACGGCGAACAAUAAGAUGUGCCGUAACGCAGUGCCAACAACAGUCAACGGGACAAAUCAACCCUUAACUGGUGAUGAUGGGCCGUUAAGAAGGUGUUUCUUCAGCAUAAGCGCACUUUCUUAUGAAAAGAUUCAGAUAUCGUGCUCUAACGUCAGCACCCUUUAAAACUAGCGCUGGUAGUUCUUUGAGCGCAUGGAAUACGCGAACCCACCUGUUGUGGGCAGAGUGUAUACUUCGACAGCAUACAGUCAAAUUUACAUUUCUGCUUCACUGUCUGAAAUCAGCCACGGAGAUUAGUUUGAUUGCCAAUGGACGACACCGCGGGAAAAUAAUACGACAGAUAACAAACUCUGUCUUCAGUCAGAGGCAACAACAGCUAAUGGGACCAUUAAACCGAUUGCAGGAGAUAUUGAGCCGUCGAGAACCUUGCCCUUUCUGAUCAAAAGUUUCAAAUAUCAUGCUCUAACGUCAACCUGACUAGCGCUACUAGUUCGUUCAGCAUCUACGGAACCGUCGACGCCGAUUACUCACCCGUACCGGUAGUGAAAAGGGUGUACACUUUGGCAUACAAUAAAAUUGGCAUAUACUCCUCAUUGAGCAGUGCAGACUGGAUUAGUUGCAAAUGGACGACCACAUCCAGAAAGACGACCGAACCCAAACGUGAACAAAAAUGAGGAAUCAGGAAUCAAGAUGAUUGAAAUCAAAUAUUUAGACUUCUUUUGAUAGUUUGCAUCGACGAACAGGCGACAUCAGCCAAUGGAACCAUUCAACCCAUAGCAGGAGACAGUACGGGGCCCCAAGAAGGUGUUUCUUCUCCAUCAACGCACCUGAGAACAAGCAGAUACAUAUAUCUUGUUCCGUUGUCAACCUUAUUACUGGCGAUUUCAGUUCGUUUAGCAUGUCAGGGACACUAGACGGAAAAUAUAUUAAACCUGUAGUCGACCGCAUCUAUUAUUCUACUACCAACAUUUUCCUGAGUUCUUUCCUCGGCGUCGGAGACAUUUUGAAUUGCCACUAGAUCACCAUACCAGAGGAGAUUACUGCGGAGUUUAAAUUGUGUCUGACACAUAGUCAACUGUACCCAAUGGAACCAUUCAACCCAAAACAGGAGAUACGGUACCCCCAAGAAGCAAGAAGUUGUUACAUUAGCGCCCCUGGUGAUCAGCAGAUUCAAAUAUCCCGAAAAAUCCUGCCCUGUCGUCAAUAACACUGAACCCAACAGUUAUUUCAGUAUCAAAAUAUGGAACCAUUGACUACGCGUAUUACCAACUGGUAGUAAACAGGGUGUAUACGUCGAGAAACAAUAGAAUAUGUACAUAAACUCUCUACUAGAGCAAUACAGAUUCCAUUAGUUGCAACUGGACAACUACACCGAGAGAGAAACAGCACAGACAACAGACUCUGUCAACAACUUCAGGCGACAGUGAUGAUUGGUACCAUCCAACCCAUAUCGAGAGAUACGGGACCCGCAAGGUGGUGUAAUUUCUUAAUCAUGGCACCUUAUUACGAUCAACGAAUUCAAAUGUCUUGCUCAGUCGUUAACCUGACUCAAAUCAGCAGUUCUUUCCAAAAUAACUGGAACCAUAGACUAGGCGUACCCACCUUAGUGGGCAGAGUUUCUACAUUAAUGUUUAUUCCAGCCUUCAGAUUUCUUGCUCUGUUGUGAACAUGACUAGCCCUGGUAGUUAU
rnacentral:lncRNA from 1 species